rnacentral:tRNA from 1 species
GGAGAGGUGGCAGAGUGGUCGAUCGCGCCCGACUUGAAAUCGGGUAGGCGUUAACAGCGUCUCGUGGGUUCAAAUCCCACCCUCUCCG